AUCUAGGUCGAAAUUCUAACCUACAGAAUUGUAAGACAAAAGCUAAGCAGGGUUGGGCCUGGUUAGUACUUGGAUGGGAGACCACCUAGGAAAACCAGGUGCUGUAGGCA
rnacentral:rRNA from 1 species